rnacentral:rRNA from 1 species
CCUAUGGGGGGCAGCAGGCGCGAAAACUUUACAAUGCGGGCAACCGUGAUAAGGAAACCCCGAGUGCCAGCACAGGCUGGCUGUCCACCAGUGUAAACAACUGGUGAAGAAAGGGCCGGGCAAGACCGGUGCCAGCCGCCGCGGUAAUACCGGCGGCUCGAGUGGUGGCCGCUUUUACUGGGCUUAAAGGGUCCGUAGCUUGAUCCAUGGGUCCCUUGAGAAAUCCAUCAGCUUAACUGCUGGGCGUUCAGGGGAAACUGUGGUUCUAGGGACCGGGAGAGGUAAGAGGUACUGCCGGGGUAGGAGUGAAAUCCUGUAAUCCCGGUGGGACGACCUAUAGCGAAGGCAUCUUACCAGAACGGCUCCGACAGUGAGGGACGAAAGCUGGGGGAGCAAACCGGAUUAGAUACCCCUGUAGUCC